GACGGACGCUGGCGGCGCGCUUAACACAUGCAAGUCGAACGGAAAGGCCUGCUUUCCCUUGUGGAUUGCGGGUACUCGAGUGGCGAACGGGUGAGUAACACGUGAGUGAUCUGCCCCCAACUUGGGCAUAAGCCUGGGAAACUGGGUCUAAUUCCCGAUAGGACUGCAGGGUGGUGCCUGUGGUGGAAAACGAUUUUCUAGUGGUUGGGGAUGAGCUCGCGGCCUAUCAGCUUGUUGGUGGGGUAAUGGCCUACCAAGGCGGCGACGGGUAGCCGGCCUGGGAGGGUGGACGGCCACAUUGGGACUGAGAUACGGCCCAGACUCCUACGGGAGGCAGCAGUGGGGAAUAUUGCACAAUGGGCGGAAGCCUGAUGCAGCGACGCCGCGUGGGGGAUGACGGCCUUCGGGUUGUAAACUCCUUUCGACCGCGAGGAAGCCACCUGGUUGGAAGGGUGGUGACGGUAGUGGUAGAAGAAGCACCGGCUAACUACGUG
rnacentral:rRNA from 1 species